AUUGCUUCUCGGCCUUUUGGCUAAGACCAAGUCUAGUAUCUGUUCUUAUCAGUUUAAUAUCUGAUACGUCACUUAUCUAGGGACCAUAUAUUAAAUUGACUUUUGGAACAGGGAGAUGGAAUAGGGGCUUGCUCCGUCCACUCCACGCAUCGACCCAGUAUUGCAGUGUCUCUGGGAACGGUGCACAAAGA